ACGAGUUUCGAGACCGCUGACGAAUUUGAAAAGGGAAAGCGGGAGUCCAACCUCCGAUUCUUGCGGCGGCGAUUGGAAAUCUGGAUUUGCCGGCGGCCAGACAAGCGCCGACGACGCUCACCGUCUGUUCGACGGAAUGCCUCCUUGUAGCGAGGACGAGAAUGCGCUGCUGAUGAGCGCCACCGACCGAUGGCAGCAGCAAUUGUGUGCUUCUGGGUGGUAUCUCAAGUGCUAAACACCUCAAGUUGAUAUCUGAUACUGGAAAGUUCAUUUUCACAAGAGAUUUGAAACAUUGCCCUACAUUUAGCAAGUUAAAGACUUUAUUACUCAACAAGUACUGGUGCGAGGCUCCUGAUUUGGAUCCAUUAUCUUGCAUUCUGGCAAACUCACCAGUUCUCGAGAAGCUCACUCUUGAACUUUCUCCCAAGUCGCAAAAUCCUAAAUUGGAGAUAAAAGGAAGCUACUGUUGCAUGGAGAGACCGUCUGCAAUAUCAGAGCACCUCGACAUAGUUGAAGUCAAGUGUGAUGUGAUCGACGAGAUAAUUCUUAAAGUAUUGAAGUUCUUGUGUGCAUCUAACAUACGAUUCAGUUUCGAGUAAGGGUGAGAUGAUCUGGGUUAUUGUCGAUCUUCCAUGUUUCAGCCAUUAGUAAUUCAAGGCUUAAGAAUAUAUAAGCAUCUUAUGCCAACUCUACUCAGAGGAACGGUGUAGAAUCCCCAGUAUAUAACUUAUGAACUCUAGACCAUCUAGCUGGACUUGGUUUUAUGGUAUUCUGUUGCACCUAAGCGUUUCUUUGUUGGAUUGGGCCCAUGACUGUUCUGUUAUGAUGGAUCUGUAUAUUUUGUUCCUCGGCUAAGACAGGGCUGUUUGGAAAAGUGCAACAGGAGGUCUAGAGUUGCACAUAUUGCACUUUUCGUUUCACUGCUGUUGAUCUAUUUCUCUGAUGUUGAUCUAGGCAGAGAAAGCUGAAAAUGAGCUGCAGCUCUGAACUUAUGUUACCAGCAAUGAGAGGGAUACCCCAGUUGCUACCCAGAGUGAUCUCAACCACGCAUUUUUGCAUCCAUAUCUGCUGCUGGUACCUAUGGGAGCAUGGGGUUGUUGUUGUCUUCAACGGCAAGACGCCAACCUAUGCCAGCGACAUCUCCUACUCAAGUCGCGUGGCGAUGCCAAUGCUUGUAUCUCUUGCUCGACGUGAGGUGUAGUUAGGGUUCCCUCUCCCUCCCUUGUGCCUCCGGUCUCUUGGGAGGUCUUCAGAUUUCUAGAAAUAUCUUGCUCAAGUUCCUGUUUUCAGUACAAGUUCGGAUGUUGCUGAAGUUCCCGUUUUCAGUACAAGUUCAGAUGGAGAAUUAUUCCCCAGCGAACAUUUUGGAUAAAAGUCGCAUGCUCUCUUUGAUGCUUCAUUAUAAUGGCCACAUGAACCGCCGAUCCAUAUGAUGUAA